UACGAAGGCCUCAAGCGUUGUUCGGAUUCACUGGGCGUAAAGAGUGAGCAGAUGUUGAAAUGUGUAAAACGUGAAAUCUUUUGGCUCAACCAAAAAACAGCGUUUGAAACUGUUUCAAUAGAGGAAUCGAGAGAUGUUUGGAAUUUACGGUGUAGCAGUGAAAUGCAUAGAUAUCGUAAGGAAGACCAAUUGCGAAGGCAAAACAUGGGCGAUCUCCUGACAGUCAGUCACUAAAGCCUAGGUAGCAAACGGG
rnacentral:rRNA from 1 species